AGCAGGUGUCAACUCAGGUCUCUCCCUGCUACACAAUUCACAAAACUGCAGACCCAAUUCCGCCAAUCUUUUCGCAACAAAUAUUGGCCAUUCUCCAGCAGAAGGAUCCAAAAUUGAGGAUAAUUUCCCACAUGACAUUGUUCUUCGCACCUCACCUACCAACCCAACAGGAGGCCUUCCAGUAAGUAGCUGUAGAAUGAUGACCCCAAAAGAAUAGAUAUCAGACUUGGUUGUCAGCACUCCCACUCUUUGGAACGCUGGAUCCAUAUAUGAAAAAGCACCUUUUGGCUCAGUGCCCCUUCGAAAACUAGGGCAAUAAAGAGUAUCAUCCGUUACCAGCCUGCAAAUUCCAAACUCGCAUAUUUUGCAGCUAAGUUCAGAAUCAAG
rnacentral:misc_RNA from 1 species